rnacentral:snRNA from 1 species
GCCGGCUGGGGUUAGGACAAUGACACAAUCCCCUCGCCUUUUACUAGGGGAUUCCGUGUCCUGACCCCAUUCAAAGCCGCAAUACGAAUUUUUCAGAUAUAUGCUUCCUGAGGAAGUC